AGUGAACGCUGGCGGUAGGCCUAACACAUGCAAGUCGAACGGCAGCACAGUAAGAGCUUGCUCUUACGGGUGGCGAGUGGCGGACGGGUGAGGAAUACAUCGGAAUCUACUUUUUCGUGGGGGAUAACGUAGGGAAACUUACGCUAAUACCGCAUACGACCUACGGGUGAAAGCAGGGGAUCUUCGGACCUUGCGCGAUUGAAUGAGCCGAUGUCGGAUUAGCUAGUUGGCGGGGUAAAGGCCCACCAAGGCGACGAUCCGUAGCUGGUCUGAGAGGAUGAUCAGCCACAAUGGAACUGAGACACGGUCCAGACUCCUACGGGAGGCAGCAGUGGGGAAUAUUGGACAAUGGGCGCAAGCCUGAUCCAGCAAUACCGCGUGGGUGAAGAAGGCCUUCGGGUUGUAAAGCCCUUUUGUUGGGAAAGAAAAGCAGCAGGUUAAUACCCCGCUGUUCUGACGGUACCAAAAGAAUAAGCACCGGCUAACUUCGUG
rnacentral:rRNA from 1 species